rnacentral:lncRNA from 1 species
AUGUUUUUAUCUGGUAAUGACCACCGUUGGCUAAUGUAUUUAUUUAUUUAUUUUUGUCUACUUCUAGGGUUUCGUUUUUGCACUGAAUGUAGCCAGGACGGAUCCUUGUGGGCUUUGGCAGCCCUUGGAAACCGUCAAAGGCAGUAUUUUGCAUUUCUGCAGAGCUUUGCACAGAUCCUGUUCCCAUGCAAACUGAUGAGGGAGAAAUACUGGAGGAAGGCAGUCCCAAGGUGCAGGAAAAGGGGAAAGAAACAUUUUGCACUGUAUGCGAAUGAAUCCCUGCUACUCUUGAAAAUUUUGGCUUAUUACAAAGAGGUGUACUUUCAACCUACAGGAGGUGUACUCUGGAGCUGUAGGAGUCUAAAGUCUUUGUAUAAAAUAUCUUGUAAAGUCUUUUGGAAGUAG